rnacentral:rRNA from 1 species
UACGGAGGGUGCGAGCGUUGUCCGGAAUCACUGGGCGUAAAGGGCGCGUAGGCGACCUGAUAAGUAGGGGGUGAAAUCCUGCGGCUUAACCGCAGGGCUGCCUUCUAAACUGUCGGGCUCGAGCACAGUAGAGGCAGGUGGAAUUCCCGGUGUAGCGGUGGAAUGCGUAGAGAUCGGGAAGAACAUCAGUGGCGAAGGCGGCCUGCUGGGCUGUUGCUGACGCUGAGGCGCGACAGCGUGGGGAGCAAACAGG